UUGAGAGAGAGAAGAAGAGAAUCGUCAAGUGUUUAUGGUGGUGAAAGUUAUAAGAAUCGUUAAAUUUGACGAAAGGCACAAGAUCAGUAUAAAGUUGAAGUUGAUCAAUUUGUGGAGCAUGGAUCCUGAAUAUACCGACGAUUUAUUAAACCAUUUGGAGAAGCAAACUGAAUUGCUUUUAGAAACUCGUAAAACGAUGACUCAAGAACUCCAAACACUUGAGGUGGAAGAAGAGAUGAUGAUGCGGAAAUUCUAUGAGUUAAUGUCUAGACAGCGCUUAAAUAAGAAGAAAAUGGAGAAGACUCAAAAUGUGUCACAUGGUAAAGAAAUAGUUGAAGUGGAAGAUACUUCUAGUACAUCCAGAGAGUUAAUCGUAUAUGUAAGGAAAAGGAAAAAGAAUCAAAAGCCAACAUAAUGAAGAUAUCCAUUUCUUGUUUAAGUGAUGGAUAUAGUUUUCACAUUGUUUAUGGUGUGCAAUAAUAAGUUGUAUUUUUUGAGUGAUGAAAAUUUAUACGGGUAUGUAGUCAUGAACCUUGUAAGAUGUUCUUGGGGUCAUAAGAGUUUUAUCUGAUCCUGCGAGACGAUAAUUUAAUAACAUUACAAGCAAAAUAU
rnacentral:lncRNA from 1 species